ACAUGAUAAACAUUAAUUGUGAAUUAACUUCCUGGGAAAAUUAUUUCAAUUUGGAAUUAUCAGUAUUCUUUACUGUUAAAUUAAAAAAAAGAAAAUUGUGUACUAUUUGCUGGAAGAGGAUAUUUAAACUGUUAUUAUUUCUUAAGUAUGGAUAAACCUUUUAACACCAGUGAUCAAUCAAUUGAAUGCUUGCAAAAAUCAGAUCAAUGUAUCAAAGUCUCCUCUGACGUCAGACAUCUUUGGUAUACCGUUCUUGUGCCGAAAAUGCCUUAUCAUUUAUAAAAGCUAUGGGUAUAUUUGUAGAGAACAAAACUCUUAGUUAUUUGUAUUGGGAUUUCUGUGAUACGGACAAUUGCAAUGGCGAUUAAUCGAUGAUUAUAAUUUUUUCGACCAUACUUAAAAAAAAUUAAAUUAUAAUUAAAUGAAUUAUGUUAUCAUGUGUAUUUAUAUGACUA